GCCCAUGUGGUGGAAUUGGCAGACACGCUAGACUUAGGAUCUAGUGCCGCAAGGCGUGGGGGUUCGACUCCCUCCAUGGGCACCA
rnacentral:tRNA from 1 species